CCUGAAUUAACUCAGGAGUGACGGGCAAUUUGUGCAUAUAAAAUUAAUACUUCAAAUUUAACUUUACUUUUUUAAAAUUUAAUAUCAGGUCCUAUCUAUCUCUUUUAAUUAAACAUUUUAAUUUAUUUAACUCAAUGUGUUUCGCUUCAACCAAAAAUAUAUCUUUUGUCUUGAUUUGUAAUAAAAUUAUUAAAUUUUUAGAAUAUUUCUUUUGAAACUUUCUAUGUACAAUGAUAUAAAAAGUUAGAAAUAUGGCUCAUCAAAUCGUGGAUUAUCUAUUAUAAAGUAAAACCCCCUGAAGAAUUUCAUACCGCCAUCUCAUUUAGAUUUUUCUUAAAUAGGUACUAUCCUGUGUCGAUUUAAAA
rnacentral:rRNA from 1 species